UGUUACCUCUCUGAACUUCUCUGGAGUUCCUCUCUUCCCCACGGGGCUCUGACCUAGAUGAACCUAAACGAACAUGCUUCCCUGCCUCCUCUCGGCUCAGGGGUCUUCCUUAGACACAAAGCACUCCACACCUAUUUUUCUGCUUAAGACCUUUCCGGGGUUCCUGAAGCCCUCUGAGGGAUUGCAGCUUUUCAGCAUGGCUUCUGACGUUGUCACCGUGUGGCCCUUUCCUGCCCACCUGUCUCGCUCUUGGCACUUGGCAGCAGCCUUAACCCAGCCACAACUCCUUGGGGUUCCGAGAACGUGCCAGGGCUCCCACCCCCAUGGGUUUGCACUUGUAGCUCCAUCCAGCAGAUACUCAGGUAGCUGGAAGCUGGCCUGGAGUCCCCUGGCACGUCCUUCAGCCUCAGCACUCAUCUGCUUCCCCGACACCCCUCCCCACCUCCCGCCAAGCAGCCAGGGCGCCUUCCUCUUCUGUUUUUUCCAGCUGGACGCCAGCUUGAAAGGCAGGUCUUUGCUAGCCACCCCCUUGUCCACUUGAUCCUGACCCCUGAGGGCUGCCACCCUCCCCGCCCGCAGGCUGUCCAUCCAGAGACUUCAAGAGUGGUUUGCAGAAACCAGGUCAGCCUGAGACGCACCUCCGUGGCAGCCUCUUCCCAGAAGCUGCAGCCAUUCUGCAAGAGGAGGCCAGCCAUGCCCUGAGCCCCAGUGGCUUCCCAUAGGGACAGCUCUUACCGAGACUCCCAAGCUGUGGAGGGAACUAGUGGGCACACACACACUAAGUGAACUGGGACUUGGUCCCACUUCCAAUUCUGCUGGACUGCAGCUCCCGGGACAGCCCUGGCACCUCAGAGAUGCUCAGGAUACACACACGCCAUGAAUGUUAACCCUCUGUUUUACCAUUUAAGGCCAGGACGCUCGAGUGCACCUCCAAGCAGCUGUGUUCACAUACAUGUACCUGUGGUGCUGAACUCUAAGCAGUUCUUUUCAUCUCCAAGCCAUCGGCAGCCUGAUAAAGGACAGCUGUAGGGAAACCACGAGCUCCUGAGAGCAAUCCACCUCAUCAGAAGCCGGUGGGGGGAGGCAGCGCGUCCUCCGAGCCAGGAGCAGGUCAGCAGAGACCUUGGAAUGCUCUCAGGCAGGAGGCACCAGAGGAGGGUCUCAGGAAGUGCCCCACCUUGCUGUCCUGGGAGCUGUCUUGAUAAUGAAAGCCCAGACCUGGAGUCACUUUCACAGAGAGAUUUAUCGAGAAUGCUAACAGCACAGGAUACAGUACUUCCCAACAAAAGGUGCGAACGCGUCACUUAGAAAGGCAUGCUGAGUAUUCUUGGCUUUCACACGUAUUAAAAAACUUACAAAAAUAAAAUAAAACUGCGUGCUGCCCAUCUUUUCAAAUAGUAAAAGAACCUUAUGAAAAAAUCACUUGGUUUUACAACAAAAGACACAAACGGACAUUUUUAUGUAAAUUUAUAAGGCAAACUCUUUAUAUAAUAAAUAGGUUACAGGGAUUCAGUGGGGGGUGUUUUGAAACGUAUACAGGUACAUUCAGACAGGUUUACUGAAAUGGUACAAAUUUCCUUAAUAAAUUGCCUUUUGUUUUUAAAUAUAUCAGUGCUUUCAGUCAUUUGGCUAUACACAAAGAACCUUUUUUUGAACACUACAAAAAAGCAAUCAAUAUUUUUUUUUGUUUUUAAAACGAUCUACUUAAGUUUUCUAAAGUAAUUGUCCCAAAACACAAAAACUGAAGGUGAAUGCGAUAGAGGGCUUUUGGAGAUCAUCUCCAGCCAAGUCUGUCCUGGAUGACUCCCCUCACCCCAUACACACUUUUCCAGCCCUUUUCCUCCUGGGCUGGAGCCUGCUCCCUCUGCACAGGGUGACCAGGGUCCCUGCGACUCAGGAGGGGGCGGUGAUCCUGCUUGGUUCUUCUCAUUCCUAAGCCCCAUGCCCGAAUGGUCAGCACUGUCCUCGAAGAGGGGGGGACCCCGGGCACUAAGGGAGCACGUGGCCACCCUGUUUCGUCAGUCCUCAAUAGUGUCUGGGAGGUAACGGCUACUCAAGAGGAUCGGGUUUUGCCAUGAAACGAGAAGGGGGGUUUCUCAUAUCCAAAUUUUGCUGGGGAUCAGAUGACAGCCAAGGGUGUGCACCCCCCCACCCCAUCAUCAUCUCCUUGUCCAGGAAAGUGGGGAAUCCAGAGGUUACGUUAGUGUCCUGCACUGUGGGGCGGGGUGGAUUUGAUGAUGGUACCCCGAACAGUAAUGUCCCCCCCGAAUCAUAAUGCCGUGUCCACACACGCCUGACCUGUGGCCACAGUGGAGGUCUCCUGGGAGACGCCCACCCUCAGGCCGAGCCUUGCCCCGCAGGCCCACCCUGACCUUCUCCCACCGAGGUGUGGUUGGUUCCGCUCACACCCCUCCUGGCUCCCCUUGCAGGAACGUCAACAUUGUCUGUCCUUAAAAAGAUAAUCCUGAUGCUAUUAAUCUGGGAGUGGACCAAAACCUGGUUUUGCUCUGACUUCACAAAUGGCAGCACGUCAGCUAUUCACUUUGUCAGCUCUAGGUGUCACUUCUUUGGGUGGCUUCUGGCUGAUCUGGGCAGGGGGUCCUGUUUUUGGCUCUCCCCCUCCUGGGGCAAGAGGACAGCCCCUCUCCUUCUGGUUACCAUCCCCUCCCUCUGAAUUCUUUUGUUGGUAAAGAAAAGGUGUCUAGAAGCAUUUGUCUCUGGAACAAUUACUUUAAACAUGGUUACAAUACAGACUUCAGUUCAAACACAGAAGAGAUUUACUUUGCAAAAUUCCCUUCACCCACCGAAAAUUACACAAAUAGAAGCCUCAACACCACAGUUAAGAGGACCAGUAGAGAGAAGCUCAUGUUUGGAACACAAAAGGAGAACUCAAAACCAAACCAAACCCAAACAGAAACAACCCCAGAGAGACGAGGGGAGGGCGGAGGAGGGGAGGAGCGCAAACACAGCACACGGUACAGUGUCCGGGUACAGGAGCCCUGCACGAGGAGAGGGCUCGGCACACCGAGUAACAGUCCUGGUGAUAUUUGGUCAUAUAUUCAUCAACUACUGACUCUGGAGCGGCUGUUAUUGAUUGAAGCAGUGACAACUCAAAGGGAAAAGGAGGGCUUGGGAGCAAGGGAAGGAGCAGGUUUUGAGUUCUGCAAGCCUUUGCCAUGCUACCGUCCGGCAACCCAGGAACAGUACACUGGGUGGGCCCUGCUGCCUGGGGCAGGCCAGGUGAGAGGUCACCGGCGGAGGCUAACUCGGUGCUGUCUUCAGAUCUCGGGCAGAACUGGACACACGCCAACACCCAUCUGCAAGAAGCUGGACAGCAGUGGUCGCAGCAGCUUCCUCUGCCCCCCUGGCCCAGGCUGGGUAGGAGAAGAGGCAGGGACCCACCACUAAUACUGAACUGAAGGCGGGGCCCAGCCCCCAGGCCCAGGUCCUCCCAGAGGCCUGAGGGGUGCCUGGCCACCUGAAGGGCCUCUAAGGGUUUCUUUUGGAUGUAGGCCUCAGAAGUAAUGAUGCGGGGAGGGAAGCUUUUGGCCCUGGUGAUUAUAAUGCUCUCUGCUUUGGAAGAACAAGUUUCUGGAUAUUAUUCUUAUUUUUUUUGGUGUUUUUACUUACUUAAAAAAUGAUCAAAAAGAACUUACGGCUAAACUCUAGCAGAUAUUGCUCGGUAAGAAUUACAAAAGCAAA